rnacentral:rRNA from 1 species
UGGGGAUGACGUCAAGUCCUCAUGGCCCUUAUAGGUGGGGCUACACACGUCAUACAAUGGCUGGUACAGAGGGUUGCCAACCCGCGAGGGGGAGCCAAUCCCACAAAGCCAGUCGUAGUCCGGAUCGCAGUCUGCAACUCGACUGCGUGAAGUCGGAAUCGCUAGUAAUCGCGGAUCAGAAUGUCGCGGUGAAUACGUUCCCGGGUCUUGUACACACCGCCCGUCACACCAUGGGAGCGGGUCUCGCCAGAAGUGGGUAGCCUAACCGUAAGGAGGGCGCUUACCACGGCAGGGUUCGUGACUGGG